rnacentral:lncRNA from 1 species
UCUAAAGCUAUCUUCUGAUUUUACUCAUGCAGGAAGCGCGUAAAAGGCUCAUCGUAUGUACAGUAUAUAACUGUAAUUUACUCGCUGCUUAUUUUGCAUGAACAUUUUGUCGUGUACUGAAUCAUUUCUUGCAGAUUGCAGUUGUUGAGGGCUUAUACAUGCUCUUCAGGGAGUUAUUGCCCCAGCAAGCAACACAGCGAGGGAAAAAAGUCAUAGAGGACCAGGAUGUCUUUGAGAAUUCAUUGUACUGCUGGGCACAUCUCCUUUCAAAAAUUGAGAAACAAGCAUCAAACCAUGAAGUCUAUGCUCCCAUCUCGCUCGUGUCCAAAGAUGGUGACCAUUUCUGCGAACCUGUCAGAGUACCCGGAGUACCAGAUGUCUUUGAAAGGGCGUACGUCCUUCAGAAAAUCAAAGAUGGAGAGAAAAUUCCAAAUUGCACCGAAGAGCCUUUGCAAGAAUUCUCACUACAGAGAGCCACUGACAUUGAGAAAAUCCUGCUCAGCAUUCCUCGAUUUGUCCGAACGUAUCCUCUGUGGAUUCACCAUGACAAGACAUCUGGUCAGAACUUUCAGGUGAAUAUUCAGUGGACUUUUGGCAGCAUGGUGGAACGUUUGAAGUCUUUCCCUCGCCUUAAUGUGACCCCGCCUCUACAUCUGAAGAAUCUGGGACAUUAUCAGAGUUGCCUUGUUCUACUCAGUGAAGAUAAUCUGGGCAUUUAUUUGCAUAAAGACAAAAGAACAGCUGAUAUGAUCGAAGUGCGCGAUUGUCUGGAUGGAAAAGUAAAAACGAUGGAUUUAAACUUGCUAGCAGCCAACACUGGCGACCACAGAGACGACCAGUCAUUUGUUACAACCAGAACUCCAAAUGAGGCAAUACUGGUACUGAUCGAUACAAGCUCCUCGAUGGAAGAGGAGUGCUACGAAAAUGCAGAAAUAAAGAAAAUCAACGCUGUCAAAGAGCUCUUUGACAACUUUGCCACGAGGAGCAUGGCGUAUGAUUUCUAUCACGUCAUUGGUCUUGUAAAGUUUGACUCCAUGGUGAAAAUGCUCCACACAUUCACAGAAAAUCUGGAGAAGUUCAAGGUCCACACACGUAACCUUGAGGCGAGCGGAUGUACUCUGCUGUAUGACGCGCUACGACGUGGAGCUUCAGAGCUGGAAAAGGUCAAGGCGAGCUUCCCAGAUUGUAGACUCCGCAUCCUGUGCCUCACUGAUGGCAGUGAUUCUGGGUCCUUUAUGGACCCAGUUGCUGUGACAGCCAAGUUGCUGAAAGCAAACGUCACUGUGGAUUCAAUCCUUCUUGGAAAUGUGGAAAACAACAUGCUCCAUGGAAUCAGCAAUGCAACAGGUGGCUGCUGUUUCAAACCACAGACAGUCAAAGACGGUCUGAAACUCUUUGAGAUCGAAACAGUUCUGUCUCUGGAGCAGAGGAAGCCCAAGACAAAACUUGACCCUUCUUCCAUCACUGAGGUCGGUUUAUAG